rfam:Brassica napus, WGS project CCCW01000000 data, contig: 14610
UUGCUCGUUGAAAUGAGAGAUGAUUGGCAUCUCUUCUGACAAAGAUGUGAUUAACCUUCGGGUCUUUGAAUGCAUCUGGUUAAGUUUCUCCACCCUCGGGUAGAUCUUAACCCAUUUCA